rnacentral:rRNA from 1 species
UACGGGGGGGGCAAGCGUUGUUCGGAUUCAUUGGGCGUAAAGGGUGCGUAGGCGGCGCGGUAAGUCGGGUGUGAAAUCUCGGAGCUUAACUCCGAAACUGCAUUCGAUACUGCCGUGCUUGAGGACUGGAGAGGAGACUGGAAUUUACGGUGUAGCGGUGAAAUGCGUAGAUAUCGUAAGGAAGACCAGUGGCGAAGGCGAAUCUCUGGACAGUUCCUGACGCUGAGGCACGAAGGCCAGGGGAGCAAACGGG